UGUCUUUAUUAGCAGCAUGAGAACAGACUAAUCCAGGAGGGUAGAGUGAGGUCAGAAGCACUAUCUUAGUGGGUUCUAUUACCCACCGCCCACCAACAGUAGGGCCCAAAAAUAAAAACAAAUCAGCUUCCCAGGAAAGCCAACUUUCUUUGUACUGAGACUUGAAUUUCCAAUACCAUGAUGUAUUUCAAGGCAGCAUACUCCUUCUGUGUCCUCUAAGGCCAAAGCCCUCAUAUUGACAACAACAACAAAAAUGAUUGUUGAGAUUCAUUCAUUGGAGCUGAACUGUUGCUCCCUGCAGGAGAGGGAACCUGUCUCUUAAUACAGGGCUCUGUUAAUUACAAAGGAAUCAGUAAUUAAUGGUGAAGUUUCAGAGCCUGUGGUAUUGGGGACGAAGGGAGAACAGCAGCAGCCAGAGAGCCUGGAAAGCGUGCAUAUUUUGUAAAGGGAGUUCACCGAUAAAAGCCUAAUUCUCCAGACUUGGAAUAUGAGAAUAAGGACUUAACUAACAUUGAGUAUUGAGUGCAUGCUCUUUUGCAGGCUCCACUGUAAUAGCUCUUGUCCUCUUCUUAUAAGAGUCACCUAAGAAGCUGACCCAGGAAAGUAGCCCUUUGACAGCAUCACAGCACGAGACACAGUUGAAUCCAGAGAUUAAGUACCCAAAGCCACAGCACUUGUAAGCAGCAGAACCUGGAAAUGAACCAAGAAAUAUUGAACUUCAAAGCUCAAGUUCUAUUUCUAAACAGCUGAGUCUGCCAGUUCAACAUGAACCUGGCUGGAAAGGCAGCCACAAACCUGAAUCCUUAAUUAGAAAAGCAAAAAUGAAAUAAGAAAUGGUGCUCAGUUAAUUUCAUAGGAAGCUCUCUCCCCUUCCAAGUGUGGGUGAAAUGAACUGAAAUGAAACUGUCAUCUUGAAAAUAAAAUCUCUGCCUUGCAGCCA